CUUAAGGCUGCUGCAUCUUGCAAGUCAGAAGGAAGAUGGAGAUUGAAUCAGCUAGUGGUGACAGUGAAUUCUUUUAGCCUGGAAUCACUACCAGCUCCUGUUUCACAUUCCUGUACAUGUCAGAAGUGCAGGGCAGGAGGGGAAAGAUUCCACGCUUUUGUUGCUGAAAACAACAUCGUAUGACAUGGAAUAACCUUUUGAUCAGUUUGGAUCAGCAAUCCUGGAUAAGUCUCCUGCCAAGGUCUUGCUCACA